UUACUCUGCCCUGUGCUCACCGCUGCUCACAGAGACAAAGCAAGCAGCACCGGGAGGGCACAAACCCCGGAGUGACGCUACUUACACAACAUAUGACACAGGACUGUUAGAGCAGAGUCGCCGUUACUCCAUACCGGUCCCGUCCUCAACCGACCCGCCGCGGAGCACAGCACAGGACCACCUCUUGUCGUUUGUUUUCGGGGUUAACUCAGGCUAUCAGUCAACACUUGCCGACCACCCACCUUCCUACCUUUGACACGGACCGUCAUUUGCCAGUGGGGGACUUUUCUUUUUUCGUCGGGGUCAGCGGUUCAGAGGAGGAAACGAAAAUCCCUCAACUUCACCGGGGAACGGAAGCUAGCGUCAACUUUGACAGAAACAAACGUGGUCGUAGCCGUCAGACAGGACCCUUUGCUGGCAGUGGGAUGUUAGAGCUCUGGAAGCAGGACCAGGACUGACUGAAGGAGCAUGGUGAAGCACCAACCCCUGCAGGUCUAUGAGCGUCAGCUUUGUUUGUCAUGUAUCACUGGGAUCUACGGUUGCCGCUGGAAACGCUACCAACGUUCCCAUGAUGACACCACCAAGUGGGAGCUACUGUGGUCCCUCAUCCUCCUCUUUACCUUCUGUCUGCUGCUGGUCUGGUUCUACUUCUGGUGGGAGGCGCAUAACGACUACAAUGAGUUCAACUGGUUCCUCUACAAUCGCUCUGGAGAGUGGAGCGAUGGCACAGUUCCCAUCCUGGCCACCACCGCUGCUGGCUUCACCUAUAUUGCAUUUUUAAUGGUUUUAGCACUGUGCCACAUAGCGGUUGGGCAACAAUUGAAUUUGCACUGGCUCCAUAAGAUUGGAGUGACUGCUGCUCUGCUCACCACCAUCGUCGGGGUGAUAUCUGUCAAUCAAACAUGGUGGGAGGAGUGGGAUGUUGUCCCCAUAUCACUGCAGGCCACAGGUCCAUUCCUCCACAUAGGGGCUCUCGCUGCGGUCACAGCACUGUCAUGGAUCGUGGCUGGGCAAGUCGCCCGCUCAGAGAAAACAAGAUUCCAGGUGGUCGUUCUGCUGCUAUAUCUGAGUGUGUUGCUGGGCCUCUACAUGGUUCCUCUGUCCAUCACCUCCCCCUGCAUCAUGGAUCCCGCCAGCCUCAAACAACGCCCUGAUGUCAUCGGCCACCAGGGAGCACCCAUGCUUGCCCCGGAGAACACACUGUUGUCCUUCCAACGAGCUCUACAGAUGAACGUCACCGGGUUGGAGGCUGACGUGGCCAUCAGCAUGGACGGUGUGCCUUUCCUCAUGCAUGACCACAGCCUGCAGAGGACCACGGACAUAGGGAAGGUUUUCCCAGAGAGACAUAUGGACGACGCCUCACUCUUCAACUGGACAGAUCUCCGCCAACUCAAUGCAGGACAGUGGUUCCUCAAGGAUGACCCCUUCUGGACGGUGCACACUCUGUCCCAGCGGGAGAAGGACAUGGUUGCCAACCAGAGUGUGUGCAGCCUGGAGCAGCUUCUUAAACUUGCCUCCCUCCAUAACAGCACAGUGGUAUUCAGGCUGAGGAGACCACUGCCGGAGCACCCCUGCUACCACAGCUGGAUCAAUGACACCCUGCAGGCCGUUCGGCACUCUGGGGUGCCUCAGAGCCUGGUGAUGUGGACUCCAGAUGAGGACAGAGCUGAAGUGAGACAGGUGGCUCCUGGUCUCAUCCAGACCUCAGUGAAGAAACAAAGUCCUCAUAGUCUCCAUCAGCAUGGCAUCAGCAGGCUGCUGCUCAGAUACAACCAGGCCAGCACACAGGACAUCAGAGAAUUUUCACAGAGCAAUAUCAGCCUUACCCUCUACACCGUCAACGAGCCCUGGCUGUACUCAGUGCUCUGGUGCAGCGGGGUGUCUUCAGUCUCCUCUGAGGCCCCACAAAUCCUCAAGAAGGUGCCUUACCCCAUCUGGCUCAUGAGACCAGAUGAAUACUGCCUGAUGUGGGUGUCUGCAGAUCUCAUCUCCUUUGCUGUAGUCAUAGGAAUAUUCAUUUUCCAGAAGUUCAGGACGAGCGGCAUGCGCAGCUACAACCCUGAGCAGAUCAUGCUGAGCGCCGCAGUCAGGAGGUCGAGCCGUGACGUCAACAUCAUGAAGGAGAAACUUAUCUUCUCUGGUCAGCCCCAGUAGCCGCCCGCCUCAUCCACCCCUCGUGUGUGAUGCUCACCACCUCCUGUCCAUCCUCCCAUCUCUCCACUCUCCGCCGGCGGUGACUUCUUCCAUUAUCCAUCCAUCCCCCCUGAUAUUUGCCCACUGUGCCCCUCCCCCUUUCAUACAUCCAUCCAUCAGUCCACCCCCCUCUCUCUCUCCUCACCUCACCACUCUCUCACCCCCCACACUGGAGUCCACAUCAUGUGUAGGGGAGCUUAUAGACACCCCGUUCUGUCUAGGCAGCCUCUAGUGCUGGGGGGGUAGAAGAGGUGAGCAAUGGUGUGGGCAGUGCUGAGGAGCUGUACAUGGAGAACGGCUAUGACUACUACGCCAAUCAAGGCAUCAGACAGUGACCCCGAUUCACCCUGUGUGUAUCUACUGUGACACUAUGAUAGUGGCUGGCUCACCCCGUGUUCACAUUAUUCCUGUUUUAGUGCGUGCAUCCACAUUGUGUGAAGUCUGCCCUCCUCUGUGCUAUUGAUCGCCUGACAGACUGCUGUAGAAAACUCGGUUCCCCGCCCAGUUGCUUUGUGUACAUUCUGUAAAUAGGUUUUUGCUUGUUAGAUAUAAGUAUAUAUAUAUCAUAUAGUCCUGCAUGAUAUAUCAUGAGGGACGACAAGCACUUUUUAUUAGUAAUGGAAAUGAUUCGCCAAAUCUGCGGUUUCCACUCUCACAGCUUGAUGUUUGAGAGGCACCUGUUACUAUUGCCUGCACCUAUAUAUAUAUGAAUAAAAUCUUUUCCAGAUUUAUUUCUUUUAAGCCGAUUUCCCAAAGCAGUCGUUUUUGUUUUAAGUAUUGUUGUUCAACCUCUGCUUUUACGGGAUGAAAGACGUUUAACAAGAUUAUUUACGAGGCGUGGCGACAGCAUGAGACAAAACACUUGUAGCUGGUAUGCUCCUGCCUUCUGUCGGCACUCCAGUGUGCUGUGAUGUUCUUAAUAUUACAGACUUUAAUAUUUAUAUUUAAAAAGAAAAAAAAAAUGAGCAAGCUGUUUACAGAGGUCCUGCCUUCUCCUCCAGGUGAAACAUUCACAAGAUAUAUGUAAGAUAAUAUUUUAGUAGAGGUUGAAUUGCCCCACACCCCCUCCCUCCUCGGUCUCAUCAGUGCAUGUUAACAGUAAUGAUCAUAUCAGUCGUGUGAGCUGUGCAACGAGACGACCUCAUGAAAACGGCUUGGGGACGGAGGCUAGUGCUUUCUUUUUAUGGGUCAUGUGAAUGUGUUUGGAUUUUUUUUCCUUUUUUUUUUUUUUUUAGACAUGUACAGUGUAUUGUGUGUGUUGUGGCUGGGUAGAUGUGUGACCCCGUGUGCAGUGCUACGUUGAGUGUGUUAUCGUACAUAAAAGGUGAGCCGAUGUGCGAGAUGCUCCAGCCAACUAAAGGAUUGCAUUUGAACAAUGUGACCAUGAUGUAGAAUAACAAUAAUAAUGAUGAUGAUGAUGAUGAUGAUGAUGAUAGCAUUAGUCAUGACCUCCAGUCAUUUCACUUCAUAUACAUUCUGAACUGCAACUUAACCUCUGGUAUUGAUGUGUUGGUUGACAAUGUAAAUAUGAAUGCUUUUGGGGAACUGAAGUGGGGUGCUUUAAAUGUGAAAAUAAAGCUAUAAGCUGUUGAAGGGACACUACAAGAAUCACAUUUGGCUGCACAGGGUCAAGAAGUGAAUCGCAUUUUGUGUUCACCUACUUUAUUUGGGUAUUACUGUGCCUCAGAAAUAAACAUUAAAGAUUGUUCUCAUACCAGA